rnacentral:rRNA from 1 species
AUACGUAGGUGACAAGCGUUAUCCGGAUUUACUGGGCGUAAAGGGCGUGUAGGCGGUCUUGCAAGUCAGAAGUGAAAUUCCUGAGCUCAACUCGGGCGCUGCUUCUGAAACUGCAGGACUUGAGUGCUGGAGGGGAUAGCGGAAUUCCUAGUGGAGCGGUAAAAUGCGCAGAUAUUAGGAAGAACACCGGUGGCGAAGGCGGCUAUCUGGACAGUAACUGACGCUGAGGCGCGAAAGCGUGGGGAGCAAACAGGAUUAGAUCCCCUGGUAGUCCACGCCGUAAACGAUGAAUACUAGGUGUGGGGGGUAUCGACUCCCUCUGUGCCGCAGUUAACACAAUAAGUAUUCCGCCUGGGGAGUACGGCCGCAAGGUUGAAACUCAAAUGAAUUGACGGG